UCUCGAGUAGGGAUUUUUAGGAGAGUUGUUUCCGUGCUUCCUUCGAUAGCUCAGCUGGUAGAGCGGAGGACUGUAGUACUUAAUGUGUGGUCAUCCUUAGGUCGCUGGUUCGAUUCCGGCUCGAAGGAGACGCUGCUGUUUUGGGGUUUACGGUUGCUCUUCGUUUGUGCAAAAAAUCUCUGUAUCUUGACGUGAUCAAAUCUGUUUCUGUCUCUCACCCUUGUCCGAAGGAAACAGCUUAGCCGCGAGGUGGGCUGCGUUAAUCGCGUCUUGAAAAGUUGGUUACCUUUCUGAAAGAUAGUAGACCCGAAUCGUCCCACCGUUGGGGGAAGGCACUGUUGUCUUACCGAAGUGUGUUAUAUUUUGGCUUCUAC
rnacentral:tRNA from 1 species